GAUGAACGCUGGCGGCGUGCCUAAUACAUGCAAGUCGAGCGAACAGACGAGGAGCUUGCUCCUCUGACGUUAGCGGCGGACGGGUGAGUAACACGUGGAUAACCUACCUAUAAGACUGGGAUAACUUCGGGAAACCGGAGCUAAUACCGGAUAAUAUAUUGAACCGCAUGGUUCAAUAGUGAAAGACGGUUUUGCUGUCACUUAUAGAUGGAUCCGCGCCGCAUUAGCUAGUUGGUAAGGUAACGGCUUACCAAGGCAACGAUGCGUAGCCGACCUGAGAGGGUGACCGGCCACACUGGAACUGAGACACGGUCCAGACUCCUACGGGAGGCAGCAGUAGGGAAUCUUCCGCAAUGGGCGAAAGCCUGACGGAGCAACGCCGCGUGAGUGAUGAAGGUCUUCGGAUCGUAAAACUCUGUUAUUAGGGAAGAACAAAUGUGUAAGUAACUAUGCACGUCUUGACGGUACCUAAUCAGAAAGCCACGGCUAACUACGU
rnacentral:rRNA from 1 species